CGUGAGAAUAGUUAAUGAGCGCUAAACAAAAAAUCACAGCUGUGACCACAACUCAAUAGGUGACAUUAACUAGCAUAAAAAUUCGUCAACCGGUUAAACUUAAAUCGCGUCGCGAAACAAAUCGGUGUGUGUAACAUUGUCACGCAACGCCGAUUUGUGUCGUGUCGAAGCAUUGCAAGUUCUUGAUGUGAGAUCAAAAACUUGCAAUGUCAUUCUAGUACGUCAUUUGUUUGCGGGUUCUGGUUUCGAGAUUGCGUCAUUUGCCGAUUUGUGUUUGCAACGUUUCAUUCCCAGGCCCUUUUCUCGUGCGUGCUAUGACGUAGCAUUCAAUUUCUUAUGAAUUCUCCUGUCCAAACCUGUCGACGUCUCUUAUUUACUUCGUCAAAUUCCCUUUCUAGCAUUAAAAAUGCUGCAUACAACAACAACUUUGUGUCUCGCCAUUUUGAAUUU